rnacentral:rRNA from 1 species
AUUACUGGGCGUAAAGCGCAUGCAGGUGGUUUGUUAAGUCAGAUGUGAAAGCCCGGGGCUCAACCUCGGAACUGCAUUUGAAACUGGCAAACUAGAGUACUGUAGAGGGGGGUAGAAUUUCAGGUGUAGCGGUGAAAUGCGUAGAGAUCUGAAGGAAUACCAGUGGCGAAGGCGGCCCCCUGGACAGAUACUGACACUCAGAUGCGAAAGCGUGGGGAGCAAACAGGAUUAGAUACCCUGGUAGUCCACGCCGUAAACGAUGUCUACUUGGAGGUUGUGGCCUUGAGCCGUGGCUUUCGGAGCUAACGCGUUAAGUAGACCGCCUGGGGAGUACGGUCGCAAGAUUAAAACUCAAAUGAAUUGACGGGGGCCCGCACAAGCGGUGGAGCAUGUGGUUUAAUUCGAUGCAACGCGAAGAACCUUACCUACUCUUGACAUCCAGAGAACUUAGCAGAGAUGCUUUGGUGCCUUCGGGAACUCUGAGACAGGUGCUGCAUGGCUGUCGUCAGCUCGUGUUGUGAAAUGUUGGGUUAAGUCCCGCAACGAGCGCAACCCUUAUCCUUGUUUGCCAGCGAGUAAUGUCGGGAACUCCAGGGAGACUGCCGGUGAUAAACCGGAGGAAGGUGGGGACGACGUCAAGUCAUCAUGGCCCUUACGAGUAGGGCUACACACGUGCUACAAUGGCGCAUACAGAGGGCAGCCAACUCGCGAGAGUGAGCGAAUCCCAAAAAGUGCGUCGUAGUCCGGAUUGGAGUCUGCAACUCGACUCCAUGAAGUCGGAAUCGCUAGUAAUCGUAGAUCAGAAUGCUACGGUGAAUACGUUCCCGGGCCUUGUACACACCGCCCGUCACACCAUGGGAGUGGGCUGCAAAAGAAGUGGGUAGUUUAACCUUCGGGA